CCGACGGACCUAGGCGGGCCACCCGGCUCUCCUCGCCGCCGCCGCGGCGGGCGCGGGGCCGCGCCGCGAGGCCUGAUCCCUGCAGCGCGGGCGGGCGGCGUCGCAAAGGGGAGCGAGCUCGAGGCGCCCGGACUCCUGCAGCACGUGAGAGUGAAUUCCCAGUGAUUGCUUUGGCCCCUACAACCAGAGAACAGGAUUCUUCCAUUCUUUUUGGCCACUAAAUGCCUAUGUAUACCACACAUUCCUGCGAGGGAAGAAGGGCGGAGCUUCUUGGAUGAUGAUGGACAUUCCACUGGACAGGAUGAGGGCAGAGAGUGUGACAUCGAUACCACAAAGGAGGAUCACCGAUGGACCUGCUGGGGGUUGUAAAAGUGCAGAUGCUAAACCUACAGAAGCAGAAUCUCCGAGAGAGAAGACGGAGGAUGCGCUGCUCCCCUGCUCUGUCCUAGAAAGUCACGCCCCAUCUGGGCCUCAGUUUCCCAUCGGAGGUGACCUCAGAGCAGCAGCUCCAACUGCUGAAAACCCCCUGACUCUGCAAUGGAGACACUUCUUCUGCCUCAGCUGA
rnacentral:lncRNA from 1 species